rnacentral:tRNA from 1 species
AUUGAUGUAGUUCAAUGGUAGAACAUCUGACUUUUAAUCAGAGGGCUAUAGGUUCAAAUCCUAUCAUCAACA